rnacentral:rRNA from 1 species
UACGGAGGGUGCAAGCGUUAUCCGGAUUCACUGGGUUUAAAGGGUGCGUAGGCGGGCAGGUAAGUCCGUGGUGAAAUCUCUGAGCUUAACUCAGAAACUGCCAUGGAUACUAUUUGUCUUGAAUAUUGUGGAGCUAAGCGGAAUAUGUCAUGUAGCGGUGAAAUGCUUAGAUAUGACAUAGAACACCAAUUGCGAAGGCAGCUUACUACACAGUUAUUGACGCUGAGGCACGAAAGCGUGGGGAUCAAACAGG